rnacentral:rRNA from 1 species
AGAGUUUGAUCCUGGCUCAGGACGAACGCUGGCGGCGCGCCUAACACAUGCAAGUCGAACGGAGCUUAGAGAGCUUGCUUUUUAAGCUUAGUGGCGAACGGGUGAGUAACGCGUGAGUAACCUGCCCUGGAGUGGGGGACAACAGUUGGAAACGACUGCUAAUACCGCAUAAGCCCACGGUACCGCAUGGUACUGAGGGAAAAGGAUUUAUUCGCUUCAGGAUGGACUCGCGUCCAAUUAGCUAGUUGGUGAGGUAACGGCCCACCAAGGCGACGAUUGGUAGCCGGACUGAGAGGUUGAACGGCCACAUUGGGACUGAGACACGGCCCAGACUCCUACGGGAGGCAGCAGUGGGGGAUAUUGCACAAUGGGGGAAACCCUGAUGCAGCGACGCCGCGUGGAGGAAGAAGGUUUUCGGAUUGUAAACUCCUGUCGUUAGGGACGAUAAUGACGGUACCUAACAAGAAAGCACCGGCUAACUACGUGCCAGCAGCCGCGGUAAAACGUAGGGUGCAAGCGUUGUCCGGAAUUACUGGGUGUAAAGGGAGCGCAGGCGGACCGGCAAGUUGGAAGUGAAAACUAUGGGCUCAACCCAUAAAUUGCUUUCAAAACUGCUGGCCUUGAGUAGUGCAGAGGUAGGUGGAAUUCCCGGUGUAGCGGUGGAAUGCGUAGAUAUCGGGAGGAACACCAGUGGCGAAGGCGACCUACUGGGCACCAACUGACGCUGAGGCUCGAAAGCAUGGGUAGCAAACAGGAUUAGAUACCCUGGUAGUCCAUGCCGUAAACGAUGAUUACUAGGUGUUGGAGGAUUGACCCCUUCAGUGCCGCAGUUAACACAAUAAGUAAUCCACCUGGGGAGUACGACCGCAAGGUUGAAACUCAAAGGA